GCUGCCGUGGACUGCGGUCGGUCGUCCUCCACUGAUUAUCGAUCGCCCUGGCGAGUGUUUAUGAGGAAAGCGUGGGUUCGAUUCCCACCGGCAGCA